rnacentral:rRNA from 1 species
UGGUGGAGUGAUUUGUCUGGUUAAUUCCGAUAACGAACGAGACUUUGACCUACUAAUUAGACUUUGUAGGGAAACCUAUUGAAUGUGCUUCUUAGAGGGACUUUGUGUGUUUAACACAAGGAAGUUCAAGGCAAUAACA